AUGAACCGUUCCCCGCCAGUCCUCAUCACUCAUCCCGCAGUUUCCUCCCGCACAUUCUGCAGAAGACGCUCCAUGGGCCAUGGAUGUGUACUCGAUGUUCGUUCCCUGGUCACUCCGGUCCCUGGAGAGAGAGGAGAUCUUGUGUUGGUUCACCACACUACCAUGACAAGAUGUUACUGCAGAAUUACAUAUAAUUACAGGAACAUGUCAGCAGUUGAGUGGAGUGGCUGUAACUAGGAAUUGCCACUAAUGACUAGUUUCAUAGUUACUUACUUUUAGCUAUUGGAUGUUUCACAGCCUGUAAGUGGGCUGUGUAACUUACACUAAGACUGUUGUGGCAUUUCACUGCCCUCCCCUUCUUUUCCCCAUAGGCACUCAGUGACCGCAGGUAACAGUCCUCUUCAAAUGCCUGUGAACUUUUACAUUGUUUUACAAGGUGAAAGAUAGGAAGUGAGGAUAAUUAACAAUGCAGUGAUGUGACGUGCUAUAAAAUAUAACCUAUAGCUCCGAAGGUACUGUAUGUUCUUUCAGCUGCCUCGAUAGUAAAUGUCAGCUAUGGUUCAGCCAUUGUUUUUCCACAGCAACAAAAGUGGCCACAGUGUAAGCUCUCUACACUACAUGUCAUAAUGGCCACUGUUAAAACCUACUGUCAGUUACUUACUGUACAUGGUUCAUAAUAAAUUCUGGCCUUUAAGUGAACA
rnacentral:lncRNA from 1 species